rnacentral:rRNA from 1 species
GUAGGUGGCAAGCGUUGUCCGGAAUUAUUGGGCGUAAAGCGCGCGCAGGCGGUUUCUUUAAGUCUGAUGUGAAAGCCCACGGCUCAACCGUGGAGGGUCAUUGGAAACUGGAGAACUUGAGUACAGAAGAGGAAAGCGGAAUUCCACGUGUAGCGGUGAAAUGCGUAGAGAUGUGGAGGAACACCAGUGGCGAAGGCGGCUUUCUGGUCUGUAACUGACGCUGAGGCGCGAAAGCGUGGGGAGCAAACAGGAUUAGAUACCCUGGUAGUCCACGCCGUAAACGAUGAGUGCUAAGUGUUAGGGGGUUUCGCCCCCCUUAGUGCUGCAGCUAACGCAUUAAGCAUCCGCCUGGGAUACGGCCGCAAGGCUG